GACUAGUUAAAAUUUUUUAAACAAAUAUAUUUAUAUUUAAAAUGAAAAGAUAUCAAAAGAUAUCUUGAUUAAAGUAGUUUAAAUAUUUUACUAGAUUUUGACCCGCGCUUUGAAAGCGCGGAAUUAUUUUGUUUACAAAACUUAGUUUAUUAUAAACUAUAAUUUCUAUCUAAAGUUAUAUUUUUAAGUUUUAUUUAAAUAAGCGUUGGCAUGUCUCUCAUUUGUUUUAGAUUAUUUUAAAAGUUAAAAACUGAAACGGAAUAAUACAUCGUCUAUGUUUUGCUUUGGUCAAAUUUUAUUUUUAUAAUUUUUUUUUAUCAUAAAUGAUAGAGCUGGACAACAUAUCAGGACCCAAAGAACUGAAUCAAACCCGAUCCGAAGAGUAGUACCGAACUUAAACCAAAAUUGAUUAAUACAUGAUUGGGUAUACAAUUUAAUAUAGGAAGAACCAGAUUCAAACCCGACUCGAACAAAAUAUUUCGGGAACCCUAAAAUGCUCAAAACACCGGAAAUAUCUAAAAACUUGUUUUCCAUCAUAAUUUCCAAAUAAAUCCAGUUUUAUUUUAAUUUUAUAUAUUUACUUUUACAUUAUUUAAAUUUAUAUGUUUUAUAUUAUUUAAGUUUCGGGUUUUUAGAAUUUAAGGUACAUUUUAAUUUUUCAAUUGUUUACAUAAUUUAAAUGGAUACCCAAACCAAACCCGCAAUGUUUAGAAUAGGGUUUAAAUCUAUAAGCCUAAAAAUCUGAAAUCCGAAUAGACUCAAAUCAAAAUCAAAUGGAUCCUGAUUAAGAUAUAUAAGAUUAUGUGUUUUAUUUAUUUAAUAAUAAUAUAAAAUUAUGUGUUUAGUUUUUCUCCUAGAAUAUUUAAAUGUUUAUUUGGGUUUAUAUAGAAACCGUUUUUAACAAAAAUCAAUACCAAAUAUAUGCAUCUAUAUAUACCGGGUUUGCUGACAUAUUAUAUAAUAUAAACGUGUUUUAAUCAUUUUUUAAAUAAUUUAAAAUUUUGUGCUAUAAUCAUUUUUAAAUAAGAAUAUGAGGAUAUAAUUAUUUUAGAUGUUAGUGCCCAAACAUAUUCAUUCAAUAAUAAUGAACAUCAAAAAUAUUCAUACCUAUGUAUUGUUAUGAAAUCCUCGUUUAUAGUAACAACUAUAGAUUGUUAGAAUCAUGUCAUUAAUGGCCAAAGAUAUGAUCAUUGAUUUAUUUACGGUUGGUGACAUUUAAAUAUAUUGAUUAAAUCUUUCUUUAAGCUAGAUUUUAGGUUAUUUAUUUAUACUAAUUAAUAUAGCAAUGGCAUGUCAUUUUAAAUAACUCAAAAACUAAUGGCAGAAUCCUAGUAGGGAUUCAGCUUUAAUAGUAUAGAUAUAUUAUUAGAACAUAUUUAAUAAAAUUUCUAAUGAUGGUCGAAAUUAAAAAAUUACACAUAAAAUAAGUCACAAUAAGAUAUGCAGCUAAGAGUCCGAUUGGUAAUGGCUGUAGCUUUAAAAAAUUUGCCGUAAAAGAAAAUUUGUAGACCUUUUGUUAUGGCUUUAAAUUUUGUAGCCGUAGAAUUUUAUAGAAAGCUCCAAAAAAUAGCUUUGAGUUUUUGGCUCUAUAUAGCAUUUGUACAAGUGUAGAUUAUUUCAUGAGCUGUGAUUUUGAAAUUUUUAUUAAAACUUGAUUGCUGUGAAUUUGGUGCUGUAGAAAUAAAUGAAAUUAUGGACAACACCUACAGCCACUACAAUCACACCCUAAGUCUCAUGUCUUAUGUAUUCCAGGAAUAAGCCAAUAGAACAAUACAUAUUUGUAAAUAGAUAAUUCAUUUGUUUAUCAAAGAAUGAGAAAGUAGUAAUCUUAGAUAAUUGUCCUAUAUACUUAAUUACCUCGGUUGUUGACAAAUGAUGAUGCUUUGAUUUUUCACUUUUUUUUUUUGAAGAGUUAAGCUCUGUAACAGUAGGAAACCCAAUUGACAUUGUCGAUAUGACUCAUCUAAAAAGUAGCUAUAAACUUGUAUCAAAUUAUCUGUUGCGACACUCAAAACCCAAAAAAAGAACAUCUUGAGGAAGAGAGGGAGAUCAGAUCAAAGAACCAAGUUAGUUAAAUGAAAAAAUUACGGAAGAUUUAACAGUUUUAAGCUGUGCCAUGAUUUGGUAGUUGUGGAUUACAUGAUUCACUUUUGAACGUGGUAGUUAGUUACUUAUAUCUGAGGAAAAUUAGGGAUUUAAGCUUUUUGGUUAGAGUUUUAUUUAGGACUGGUGUUUGGCCCCGUACUAAAGUACGGGUAAAAAUUCCUUAAUUUUAAUAUGUAUUAACACUAUACAUUUUCUGGUCAAAAAUGUACUAACACCACAUAUUGUAGAUAACAUAUUUACCUUAAGCCAUAAAUUGUAGAUAAUAUAUCUAGAAAUUAUAAUAACUUAUAGUUUGUAUAAGCUUACGUCCGUUUACAAUAUAUUUUGAUCUCGUCCACACAUCACCACUGAUAUAUUAUCGUCAUGUUUGUUAAUGUCGAGAUGAACUCUAGGUUUUCUUUUGCAUUAUAUACAUGAUGAAUUUAAAAUUCACCGAGAAAAUUAAUUUUCCAUGUUAACUUAAAGAAAGUGGUAAAAUAUUUACUUGUGCAGCCGCAAUUCCUUUUCCCUUUCUCAUUCGAUGAAAAAUCCAUAAAAAACUUUAAGAUGAAUCAUAUAAAAAAGAAAUAAGAGAGUAUUAUUUUGAGAAGCAGAACAAAAUGAAUUUGAAUAAAAAGGUAGUCUUAAAGCUCUAUUGAUUUUUGUUUCUACAUUCAAAUGUAGAAAAUGAUGACAGAUGAAACGAUUGAUCUUAAUAAAAGAGAAGAUAGAUAAAAAACAAGGGAAAAUUACUAAAAGAGAACAAAAAAACAAGGUUGUUGUUCCUUUGGUAUAAAACCAACGUGAAGUUGUCUCAAUAGUAUAAUUUUUCUCAUAAUUCCAAAACUAACCCUAUAUUUAAUCUAAUUAAACACAAUUUAAAACUUAAUUUGAAUUAAAAAAAAAGUUAAUGGAAAAAACGAAAAAAAAACAAGGCAAUUGAAAACAAAAAAGAAAAAAGGUAUAGAUAUGCAUCAUAGAGAACAAGAGUUUGUGAGAAAAAUCAAAAGAAAAAACUAUGGAAAAAACUAUGGAAAAACCAUAGAUUGAUGAAGAAGAGAAGGGAGAAUCAUUUUUUUUUUAAUUUUUUCAAGUAAAAUCGACCAUAACACGUUGUAGGAAGUUAGAAUAUUUUUAGGAGAUUUUUAGAAUAUUUUCUUAACUGAAAUUUCAUUAAUUUUCGCAAAAAAUUAGGUAUUCUUAUCCGUUGAAGGCGACUUCUAAAAGUUUAGAAGAAUGAUAAAAAUUCUGAAUACACUUUCUACUUUGAGUAGACGUAAGAGUACAUUGUAGAAUACAUAUUCUUCGAAAUUUAGAAUACUUUAUAAAAGUAGAAGAUGCAUUCGGAAGGAAAGUGGAUACCUUUACGAUUAGUAGAAUGCACAUUCUUCUUUUUUAGAAAUUUAGUAAAUAGUAAAAUGGACGUUCUAAAAGAAGUAGAUGAACGUGUUUAUUUUAGAAAUCAUUUUCUAUUAUACCAUUUUUUGUAGAAGACGCAUUCUACUUUUAGUAGAACGUAUUUUAAAAAUCUUAUUUACCAAGUUUUUGAACAAAAGAAAAUUAUCAGCUUGUGUAUAUUGAUGUUUUAUCAAUUGUUUAUAUUUUUAAUAGUUUUUUUGAUUCACAAAAUUAUUAUUUCAUAAGUUUUCAGAAAUACAACGGGUAAAAAAGAAAAAUAAUAGACAAAAUUGGUUUUAUACCAAUGGGACAAUAACUUUGUUUUUUUUGUUCUCUUUUGGCAAUUUUCCCAAAAAACAAUAACUUGGAAAUUAUAUAGAACAUGAAGCAGUUGAAAUAGUGCCAUGAAAUGAGGGAUCGUGGUCCCAGUGGAGUUCUUUUUUUUUUGCAGUCCCGUGGAGUUCUUUUGGAACAGUUAUUUAGCUUAAUUUUAAUUAAAUUAAUUUUAUAAAUUCUGAAAUUUUUCAUUUUUAUCUUUUUUUUUAAAGCAUUAAACACAUGUCAAAAUUUGAUUGCCCAAGUGACUUGUGCUUUAGUAUAUAAGGGACUACUUCUUGUUUUCUUAGGUUGUAUAAUUGUUUGUUGUCUAUUUUAUGUUAAUUUUAAUUAUUUUUACUUUUAGAUAUAGAUGAUGUGUCAUAUUAUUAUUGAUUGAAUGACUUGUGAUUUAGUAUAUAGAAGAUGCAAAGAUGAGAUAUUUAUGUUUUCUGAUGUUGUGAUGCUAUUCACAGGCCAGUGGAGCCAUGAAAGAUCUCGAAGGAACAGACUAUCCAGUAAGACACCCGGAGUUUCAAAGUCAUGAACCUGAGGUAAGUCUUUUACUUUCUUUGCCCAGUCCCUGCAACAAUAGGUUUAUACCUUUGAUUUGGCUUUUCAUGCUCUGAACCUUGUCUACCUGUUUGAUUACCUUAAGAGUUUGAAGAUAGAGGAGAAACAAAACCUAAUUAGAUUGUCUCAAACAGCCAAUGGUGCUCUUUUUCUCUUUUCAACAAAUGAUCAAAACAUCAAGUUUUGGAAGGUGAGAAAAUUCCUUUAUUUCGUGACUUGCCUCUGAAUGAUUUGAUAGGAUCUGUCUACAAUACAUGUGUGUGUGUCUUGGCCUUUCACGAACAGUCUUUAGAAUGUUGGUUGUAAUUGUUAUCAUAUUUAAAUGGUUAUACAUCAUGAAUGUAACGAAUAGAUGGAUAUACGUUAGAUAAAUUUGAGAGGUCAAUGUAUCUAGGUCUUGUUCUAUGAUUGUCUCUUUAGAUAUUGUUUUUCAUUUACCUUUUAUGCUGAAUAUCUAAACACAAUGCUUUUAUAUUCUUAUAUAUCUAAAGACAAUGACUACUCAUUUCCGACUGGAGACAUCCCAUCGAUGCAGCUACCUGCGGUAGAGUUGACGCUUGACUACUUUCUGUUCUCUCUUUACCGUUUGUGGUUUGCCUAGAUGAUCUUAGUUUCAGUAAGAACUUCAAGUUGAAUGCAUGAUCUCUAAGCACUUACAACUUACAGGUAACUACUAGCUUGAGACUAGCCCUGUGACUAGAUGUCGGAGAGUGUACACCCAUGCUCAUGAUUUUCAUAUCUAUUCAAUCUCAAACAAUAGGUAGUUGUUCCAUUCAUUUGGUCACAUUGUUUCUUUCAUUCCCCUUAUUUGCAUUAAUCAUGUUUUUCUCUUGGUGAUUUUACUACCAAAUUUCAAGUGACGGGGAGACAUUUAUUUCUGCUGAUGAUUUGCGGAUUAAUCUUUGGAACCUGGAGAGAAGCAAUCAAAGUUUUAACAUUGUUGACGUUAAGCCUGCUAAUAUGGAAGAUGUAACUGUUACGCUGCAAAUUUUUUCCCUUCGAAAUGGGAUUAUCAAACUUGGUUACUAGAGCUGCAAUGUUUUACACUAUUCAUUGUUGCAGAGGUUAUCACAUCAGCCGUGUUUCAUCCUACUCAUUGCAAUACCUUAUCGUAUAGCAGUUUGAAGGUUCAAUUCGCCUGAUUGAUCUGCGACAAUCAGCUUUAUGUGACUCACAUUCCAAAUUGUAAGUCUUGAGACCUACAUAGUUGUAUGGCAAACAGAAAAGAAACCAAAUUAUCUUUUGUAGUGUUUUUAUGACUUGUUGCAACAUCACAGGUCUAACAUUGCUUGUUUUUUUGUAGGUUUGAGGACACAUCGACACCAGCUUCUAUAUAAUUUUUCACGGAGAUAAUUGCUUCAGUCUUAGACGUCAAAUUUGCGAAAGGAGGAAGAGAUAUACUUAGCUGUGAUUAUAUGAUGCUUAAGGUCCAUACGUUUACGAAUUUGAUUGGUGCAUUUGACGACAUAUGUUAUCUUGGAAUUGGUUAUGUGCCAUGCGCUUACUGAAAUCAUGGUUAUGUUUUUACAUGUCAGUUAUGGGACAUCAACAUGGACUCGGGUCCACUAUCAACGUUCCAGGUUCAUGAACAUUUAAGACCAAAGGUUUUUGAAAGAGUUGCAUCAGCAUAAACUGAUGAUUACUUUUCUGUGGCCAUCUCCAGCUUUGUGAUUAAUAUGAAAAUGAUUCUAUAUAUCUUCGAUAAGUUCGAGUGUUGUUUAAGUGAGGAGUGGCUACAGGUCCUUACAGGUAUGUUUGAAAUCCACAUCAAUUUCUUUGAAUUUAUAUUGUAAUUAAGAUUGUUCUCGAAUAAUACUCCAGCAAUCUCUUCUGAGUGUUUGGUGUUUCCCCGGGAAGUACUGAAACUAUAACCUUGGAAGUAAGAAGAAACCCUAUGAGGAGAUAAGUCACAACUCCCGCGAGGCCAUCAAGACUAUCAUUAAGCAGUAUAACAUGUGUGGUUAAAAGAGGCCAGUGAAUUGUAUCCUUUUUUCUUUAGCAGAAGAUUAAUUGAGCAUAUAUGAAUACUUUAAAAAUUUGGGAAAACAGGAGCAGAGAGUCCUGAAGGUGAUGCGAAUGGUAAUUCUUUUGACCAUACAACCAAGUUGCUGCAUCUUGCAUGGCAUCCAACAGAAAACUCCAUAGCUUGCUUGCGGCCAACAGUUUGUACAUGUACUAUGCUUGAAGAAAAAAGGAAACAUCCUCAAAUCGAGAAAGAAGCUUUGGCUACUUGUGAAACUGAAUGAUCAGAGAUGACAACAUCAUCAGCAUCUUCUUAUCACACAACUAAACUCCUUUAUAUGCUCUCUCUUUCUCUCUUUUGUUUGUAUCAUCUUUGACUCUUUUUAAAUUGAAGAAAUGGCUGGACGUAGCAAUAUUACUGGUAAUGAUUCUCUUUUCUUCAUUAUACAAGAGUUAAAAGCUAGUUCGCCCAUUUUUCUCUUUAGAAGAUUUUACUUGUGUUUUGUCUGGAUUAAGUUAAAAAUGUUGGACAAGAACCAGAAGAAGGGAAAUCCGAUUAGAAGAAAAAUUGAGGGAGUUGUUUCUUUCAGAAAUAUUCUUGGAACUAUUUCUACUGGAUAAUUUACAAACUAUGAAAAACAUUAGAGAAGAUUUUACAACCGACAAUUUUACUUGUCUUAUGAGAAUUCACACCUGAUUAUAUUAUCUGAGCUAUCAUAUGAGAUCCAUGUUUGACGUUAUUUCUUGGGUCAUCGCCAUGCUGCAUAUCUCUUGUAAGCAUUUUUUUCCAUUAAUUCGCAUAAUUCCACAUUUUCUAAAGUUUGAAAUCCAGAUCUUCUGGUGUAAUAAGCAUUAAUGAAUUCUUAGUCAAACCGUUGGACGAAAGAUGUUUCCACAACUUGAAACUAUUUUAGAAUUAAGAUUUAAAUAUAACAUAUAUAUAAAUAGUUUAUUUUUAUUUUGUCCAUAUGCAUGUUUUAUUAAGUUUUAGGGUAAUUGAGGUGUAUAACCUUCAAACAAUUAAAAAUUCAUUGACUAACCAAUUACCCUACUUUUUCACUGUUUCUUGUGCUUUUUAUAUAAUAUUGCCAUAUUACCCUUGCUUGCAACCGGUAAAACCUGCAAGUAAAAAAAAAAUUAAAUUAAUAAUGUUAGGUUCCAAAAAAUUUCCGUGUCCAUUACAAAAUCACAUACUCUCACAUAGUUUAUUCUCCUUCUCGAAGUGUGUUGCAAAGGGGACAUCAUCUCCGCUUCUGAAAUCGCUUGCGAGAUGACGUUGUUAUAGUUGAAGUGGCGAGAAAGAGCAACCCAAGCCUCUUUUCCUUCUCUGAUUUGUGGGAUUGUUGAUGAAAUUAGAUUGUCUAUGUUGAUGGUGAAGGAUUGUGGUGGAUAAUAGAGUUUCAAAGACUCGUGUGGCGUCUGCAACAAAGUUGAUUGGAGAAGAUGAAGUGUAUGUAUUCUGUUACUAUACUAUUUUAUUAUAUUCCAUUUCAUUUGAUGAUUACUAAAAAGUGCUCUACUUUGUUUAGAAUUAUAGUUCUUAAUUUUUAAAAAUUCUCGUUACAUGUUUUUGAACCCGCAAAAAUCACACUAUGAUCUAUAUUGUAUAGUUUAAUAUUACAUAAUACAAUUUAAUAUUACAUAAUAUUAUGUACAUUUAUAUUUUGAUAUUUGAGUUUAGAAUUUAUACUUAGUUAGGGUUUAGUGAUUAUAGUUUAGUGUUUCGUUUUUAGAAGGCGAAGGGGUAUAGUUGGAGUUAACAUUAACUUCUUUCAUGCAAUCAUAAACCUUUCAUAACUUCACUAGUAAAUACUAUGUCAUUUAUUUUGUUCCAUUCUAUUUGGGUUUAGAAUUUAUAUUUGGGUUAGGUUUAUAUUUGAAUAAGGGUUUAGUGAUUAAAGUUGGUUUAUACUUGAAUUUAGGGUUCAUAUUUGGGUUUAAAGUUUUAUUUUAUUUGGGUUUAGGGUUUAUAUUUGGGUUUAAAGUUUGGUGCUUAUGAUUUUGGGUUUUGUAUUUAGUAGGUGAGAAGUAUGGUUGGGGUCAACAUUCAUUUAUUCCAUGCAAUCAUAUAUGUUUCAAUGUUUCAUAAUUUCACCAAUAUAUACUAUAUGCUACGUAUUUUGUUCCAUUCUGUUUGGGAUUAGAGUCUACACUUAGGUUUAUGAUUUAUAUUUUGGUUUAUAAUUUAGUGAUUAGGUUUCAAUCAUUAAGGUUUAGAGAUUCGUAUUUAUGAAUUGUAUUCAUAUGUUAUAUUUGGGUUUAUAGUUUACUGGUUAGGGUUUAGAUUUACUAAUUAGGGGUUUGACUGUAGUAUGGGAGGGUUUAUUACGUAGGGAUUAGAAGUUAGGUUGAAGUCCUAUACUAUUUCAAUAGUUAUAGGUUAUAUUUGGGUUUAAAAUUUAUUGAUUAGGGUUUAAAUUUAUUAAUUAGGGGUUUGGAUGUAGUAUUUAGUGGUUGUGGGAGGGUUUACUAUGUAAAGAUUAGAAGUUUAGGAUUUAGUGAUUAGGGUUUAGAGUUUAAUAUUUAGAGGUUGGGGGUGAAGUUGAGAUGAGUUUAUUAUUUAGGGGUUGAUGAUAGUUUGGUGUUCUAUACUAUGUCAGUUGUAUGGAACAGCAGAUUCAUGAACUUUCAAGCCAUGUGUUUGCACCUUUCGGUUUGUUUGUGCUUUUCGAUUCGUUUCAGACACGAUCAGUAGAGUCUCAGACAUCCAAACCUUGCCUCGUUCCAUUCAUCAUUUAAAUUUGCACUAUCAGUUCCAUCAUCUAUAAUACGUAUGCGGUAACUAAAAAUGUUACGUGGAUAGCUUCACGUGUCUUUAUAUGGUGAAUAAUGUUCAUUAGCUUUUAUCCAUAUUUUUGGGAAGAAAACAUCACUUCUCCACUUUGCUAACUGGAUACCUACUGAUGAAACGGGUAUAACCGGCUCACAAGUGGUACAAAUGUUAGUUUGUUAAAUAUGUUAAAAUCAGUACCAUAUACUUAAUUUUCAUUUAGAUUUUGGCUACUGAGCAAAUUAACCCGUAGUUUUAUUUAUUAUUUUUUGGCAAAACUAUCUUCUUGUUUGUAGUUACUGACACCAGAAAACAGAUACGUUGAAAUCUAUUCUUUUCACCAUAUUAUUGCUUCUUUUAAAAAAAAAAGAUGUUUGCUACAUUCCUAUAAAACAGAUCAUCAAAAGAUUACAGUGUAAAAGUUCUUAUAGUAUUCACACAAUGAAUUAUAUAAGAUUUGAUGAAGAAGAUGUUUUCACUAAUGAAAUAAUUCAGUGAUCUCAAUACAUAAGAAAAUUCACUAAAUUUAUAAUGUUCUUAAAAACUUUGUAUUAUCCUUCUCAAAUGUGAUACGAAGAUUGAAUCAUGUGGAAGAUGUUUCUACCAGCUUAACUACUAAACUAUUCUAAAGAAUUAUAUUGUUUUAGUUUAUUUAUUAUAAAAACACAUAAUUAAAGGGUCUUCAAAUCGAGUAACAACGAGAAUAUUUACCGUUAAAUAAUAUACAAAACCAAUAUUCUUACUUAGAUUUCUCAAGCAAAACCUUUUUUAUGUACGUAACUAGAUAAAAUUCGAAAUAGAGUAACUCGAUUUGGCUACUAAUCAACAUGUGUCUUCACAUCAUUCUCCAUUAUAUGACUUUGGUUGUAAAUAUUCGAAAGGGCCACGUUCGAUCUAAGCCGUCCAUGCGUCAAGCCGCAGCCACAAAUCGUAGCCGUAGGAAUGACGCGAUGAUAGGGGAAUCAAGAAGGAAGUGGAGUGUUUGUCCCACGUGUUGGGGAAACAGAACACACGAAACAGCCAAAUGGUCAGCUCUUACGGCAGCUUAACGCUAAGACAAUAUCCUUCGACACACGGACGGCUUUGAUUCAUUAUUCUAAACAUUGUAUAAUCAACGGCUGCGAUUUGACUUUUGAGUGUAAUGAUCUCUUUCUUCAUCGAGUGCACAUACUUGCUUCACAAGAACGCGAACUACCUAUUUGUCUCCUGAUUUUUUUUUUUUUUUUUUUUUUUUUUUUUUUUUUUUUUUUUGAUAACUCUGGUAUCUGGGCAGCCACAUUCCCAACUAUCCCCCGAAAGGGGUCCAGCGCCCCAACGGAAGGGAUGUUAAAUCCGUUGUGGCCAAGACUCGAACCCGGGUGGCGGGCAAUACAGCUGUACCUCCUUUACCACCAAGCUACGAGCGCUUGGUUUUUGUCUCCUGAUUCUUGAGCCAAAGUGGGUUUUAGAAAUGAUGGACUCCUUGUUUAUUUUUUUUCAGUAUUAGCUAGUUAUAAGAAUAUUAGAUGCUAAUCACGUCUGGUUUUUUGCUAACUGAACUAGUUAACUACUUCUGAUUUUUGAUCAAAAAACUACUUCUGAUUUUAUUUAUAUUUUAUAGCAAAAAGAAUUUAAGAUGUAAUGUACUAUAUGUAAGGACUGUGCAUGGAUGAGAAAACUCAUUGGACAAUGGGCGGGAGAGAACAACUGUUUUUGUUGUCUUUUGUUUGACGUCUUCUUUAUUAUAUAUGUUCUAAAUCAAGAAAUAAAAUGCGAAUUCUCUAACAAGAAAAAUGUUUGAGAAUAAAAGUUAUUGAAAUCGGCGUGAAGAUAUUGAAAUUAAACGGAGUUA